AGCUUUGUGCAGUGGCAGUAUCAUAGCCAAUGAGGUUUAUCCGAGGCACGAUUAUUGCUAAUUGAAAACUAAAAUGUUGGCCAAAGUAGGAAUAGAAGGGACCUUUCUUAAUCUAGUAAAGGAUAUCUAUC
rnacentral:snRNA from 1 species